UUUCUAAAACUGGAGGGGUAGCCUGUUUUCUCUCUUUCUGUCUAUAUAACAUAUCACAAACAGUGAGAAGACAUAGGGUGACAGAACUGUGUGUUCCCAGAAAAGCUGGUGGAAAAAAAAAGAAAGGAAGUAAGAUUACAGAGUUGGUUUGAACAGCAAAAAGGUAACCUCUGUUGGCUUCACACAAACACUAACCAAUCUGUGAAUCACCAAUUCCCUAUGAGAUAUAAGCUGAAUUUGUGGGCAAGCCUUAAGACCAGUCCUUCUAAGGGGAGGAAAAGGGGUCUUGUCUCAAGAAUCAAGUAAAGUGAAAUGCACCAUUCCAACUCUCUGUAAGGUUGAAUGAGGGUAUCAGUGUGCUAGAUGGCAGGGAAGCAGGAUUGGAACUCCAGACCCAGGCCCAGGAGCACAGCACAGUCUGGACAACUAAAGGAAAGGUAAAUGUGAUCAUGGCAUGACAUAGGGGCAACAAACUCUAACUAGAAGUCUUCCAUGGCAACUACUUCAAAAUAAAAGCAAGUCCUCACUUAACAUUGUAGAUUAGUUCUUGGAAACCAAGACUUUAAGCAAAUUGACCUAUAGUAAGUCCUCAAAUAACACUGUUUUGUUAUCUUGAUAAGAAAAUUGGUUUUGUUACACAUCCUACACGUUUCGUUUGAAGCUGCAGUUUCCAAAAAUUUAUCAAGGACAUUAAGGACGUACCAUAUCCUUAUAUUACAGCUAGUGCAUACCCCUUUGCCCUUGUGAUUCCUGCCCUCUGCAUUCCUGCUCUCAGGAAUGUGGAGUUCAAGUAACCACAGCAGAAGAUGAGAAAAUCUGGAAGGAUGGCAGACCAACUAGCCCAAAGUAGUCAGCACCUGCGAUACUGUGGAAGCAAUAUGCAAGCUCUGAAUCAUUUAACUGAAUUCUUUCAUGGAGGAGAACUUUUAUUUUGUCUAAGCCGCUGGUGUGUGGGUGUGGGCAGGAGGGUGUGUGUAUGUAUAUAUGUGUGCUUGCUAACAAGGUUUACUACCUCCAAUCUCACCUCUCCAUAACCAGAAUCUCUACAUUGCUUUCUGACUGAUAUCCUAAACCCCAAAUGUGGAGAAUCAAUCCAUUUUAAAAAAAAAAAUUAAUAAAAUACACUCUUAAAGCAUGCUUUAGACCAUUCAUAAUCUAGUCCCUGCCUGCUGAAGUCUUCUAGUUCACUGCUCCCUCUUGACACCAGCUGCUCUGACCAAGCCAUGGUCUACACAGCAACACAACUUUAUAUGUGCUUCUGCCACUGUCAAAAUAUCUUUCUUCACAGCACCCAUUCUAAAUUAUCUACAAAAACUCUGCUCAGAUGUCACCUCUUCCAAGAAGCCUUCUCUCCAUCCUGACUGAGGCACAAAUUCAUAGCCUCCCAAGGCCUCUGUUCUUACCUCUACUGUAGCAGGCAUCUGUGUUAGAAUCAUCUUAUUACUUGUUUAUUUCUCCAACCAAACUUCACAGUCAGGAUGCAUGCUUCAUCUCUCUCUCUCUAGCCCAGCAAGUGCAGGUAUUCACUGAAUGCAUGUUGAAAAAGUAAAUACUUUCAGGAAUGUGCUGAAGGAAGUUUUUGGCAUCUGGUAACUGACAUAUUAAUAAAUGAAAACCUAGGACUCUUGGUUCUUUGCCCAGGACUGUUUCCAGUACGUCAGCAUUUCCCCAACUGUGUUCCAAUGACAUCCAUUUAGAAAAUGUGAAUAAUGUGUGGGUUUCCAGCCAUGCGACACAGCUUUCAAUUCCACUAACCUGUCAAACUGACACCACUCUCAAGGCCUCUGACCCCACCCUUUUGGUCUUCUACCUGGAGGGAGGGCACUGGACCUGCACCCUCCCCCUUCCCUGGUUCCCACUAUUCAGCCAUCAUUCCCAAGUGCCAGUUCAGACCCAAGAAAACUAUCUGCU